GGCAAAGCACCUAGCAUUACCCCCUCCUCUUUUCUGAUGACAAUGGUAUAAGCCGGACGUUCCCCCCCCUUUUUUUUAAAAUAUAUAUAUUGAAACUAUGUUUGUGGUGGUGAAACUAAGUAUUGAAAAUCUACAUGGCAGUUUCCGGAAGAGGAAUGAACAAAUGUUUGCGCGCAUGGAUACUUAGAAAUAUUUGCUUUAUAAACGUUCCAAGGAUGAUGCGGGGCGUGGGAAAGGAAGGAUAAGCUACUACAUCGUCAUGCCAUACGUAGAUACAGAGCUUUACCAUUUAGGGAUCCGUGGGAUUUAGUCCUUCAACGAAUGAAAUCCUAUUUGAUUUAAAGAAGAUUUCUCACCGUUAUGACAUGGAAGUUUUCGAAAAUAAGCUCUCUAGAACUACAAACAGUGGUGCAAUUCAGACGGUUCUAUCAGGUUCAGUCGAACCAUUAGCAGUGGCGUCAGGAGGCUCCGCCCACCCACCCAGAUGU